rnacentral:rRNA from 1 species
UACAGAGGGUGCAAGCGUUGUUCGGAAUCACUGGGCGUAAAGCGCGUGUAGGCGGUCGAGCAAGUCAGAUGUGAAAGCCCAUGGCUUAACCAUGGAAGUGCAUUUGAAACUGCUUGGCUUGAGUUCGGGAGAGGGAGGCGGAAUUCCCGGUGUAGAGGUGAAAUUCGUAGAUAUCGGGAAGAACACCGGAGGCGAAGGCGGCCUCCUGGACCGUUACUGACGCUGAGACGCGAAAGCGUGGGGAGCAAACAGG